GUCUGAUUCGAAUAUGAUGGUUGUGAGGGAACAGACACCGUCGGAAGCGCUUGCAAUAGUCCCGAUUCAGGUUUUUGUGCCGGCAUCCCAAACAACCACUGAGACAGAUUUUGAACCAACCCCUAUGCUACAGAUUGAAGGGACUACAGAAACCACUCCUGAAACCCCAAACA